AAAGUUUUUGAAAUAUAAAGAAGCAUUUCUCUGAAAUUUAACCCUCCCACAGUACAAGUGACCUUCCUUGGGGACUUUUCCAGCCAGGAAUGAUCACAGCCGCGAGGGGGUCUGUAUCCUUGGACCCCCAGGCCCCUCAAAAGCAGGACAGAAUUGUGGUGGUGAAGGUGGAGGCAGAGGGCCACUUUAUCCUCGCAGCCGGGAGCUGGCCCACGCGCGCUUCAGACGGUUCUACCACCAGGAGACCAGGAGAUUUGCCACCCGGUGAGGUUCUGCGAUGCCCCCAUGAGCUCUGCCACCAGGGGCUGAGGCUGGAGAGACAUCGCAAGCUGCCCAUCCUGGAGCUGCUGAUGCUGGAGCAGUUCCUGGCCAUCCUGCCCCCGGGGCUGCAGAGCUGGGGCUGGGAGCGCCCUGGGCCGUGGAGAGGAGCUGGCUAUGACGGACCGGAAGUUUCCUGGGGGCAGAGGGCAUCUCCACCACCGGCACAAGAACCACCACGCGUCGGCACAAGAACCACCACGCGUCGCCAGCUUCAGCCAGUGACACCCAGUUCAAACGCAGAUCUUGGGAGCUCCACCCCCUCCAAGCCAGUGCAUCUCCUGUCACUGUUGGGAUCCAUGGGACACAGAAGGCGGGGAGGCCAAGGCAGGGAUGACAUUCAUCUGGUGCCACCAGCACGGAUGGACGGGUUGUGAAAGUAUUGAAACGCUUCUAGACUGGUUGGUAAGCAGCUGCCGCUCUGUCCCUGAGUGCCCUGCC
rnacentral:lncRNA from 1 species